GCCCGAGGAGCUUGGUCGGUUAAGCCCCCGCUCGGUAGGCGGGAGAACACCGGUUCGAUCCCGGUCUCGGGCUCCA
rnacentral:tRNA from 1 species